rnacentral:rRNA from 1 species
UACGAAGGGGGCUAGCGUUGCUCGGAAUCACUGGGCGUAAAGCGCACGUAGGCGGACUCUUAAGUCAGGGGUGAAAUCCUGGAGCUCAACUCCAGAACUGCCCUUGAUACUGGGAGUCUCGAGUUCGGGAGAGGUGAGUGGAACUGCGAGUGUAGAGGUGAAAUUCGUAGAUAUUCGCAAGAACACCAGUGGCGAAGGCGGCUCACUGGCCCGAUACUGACGCUGAGGUGCGAAAGCGUGGGGAGCAAACAGG